rnacentral:rRNA from 1 species
UACGUAGGGACCAAGCGUUGUUCGGAUUUACUGGGCGUAAAGGGCGCGUAGGCGGCAAUUCAAGUCAUCUGUGAAAUCUCCGGGCUUAACCCGGAACGGUCAGAUGAUACUGCUUUGCUAGAGUGCGGAAGGGGCAAUCGGAAUUCUUGGUGUAGCGGUGAAAUGCGUAGAUAUGCGGAGGAACACCGAUGGCGAAGGCAAUCCCCUGGGCCUGCACUGACGCUCAUGCACGAAAGCGUGGGGAGCAAACAGG